AUAGAGAAUCUAUAAAGCUCAGGAGGGAUAGCACCAUGAAUACAUCUUAAUAACUAUCUAUAGCGCUAUCCAUCUUGAGUUUUAUGGCUUCUUCAU
rnacentral:pre_miRNA from 1 species